UCAAACGUCCCAAAGUUCCCCGCAAUCCUCUUAUCACUCUCCAAGCUCAAAUAAGCCUCCACCCUAUUCGGUACCGCCGCCCCCUCCCACUGCCUCGAGUUAAACAUCACUCCAAGCUCCGCCGGAACAGAGUCAAACCCGCAUGCCGAAAUGACCAAACUACCCUUCUCCGCCGCCUUAUCAAAGUAACUCGCCUCCAUCCUCUCCAUGAACUCCGGCUCUCCGCAUAUGUCGAGAUAGUCGCAGCCGCUUUCCACGCAUGCAGCGACGACGGGCUCGCCGUAGAGGCGGAAGGGUCCCACGCAGUUGAGGACGAGGUGGGUUUGGGAGCAGAGGCGGCGGAGGGACUGAGGGUCGGAGGUGUCGGCGGUGAGGAUGGGAACGGAGGGCGGUGGAGGGUUUGGGGCGGCGGCCCAUGUGAGGGUUUGAGAGAGCUUGGUGGGGUUGCGGCCGGCUAAGGCGAGAGAGGUGAGAGGUGAGGAGGGAGUGUUGAGGAACUUGAGGGCUUCUUUGACGACGUACUUGCCGGUGAAGCCGGAGGCGCCGAGGAUGAUGAGGUCGUNNNNNNNNNNNNNNNNNNNNNNNNNNNNNNNNNNNNNNNNNNNNNNNNNNNNNNNNNNNNNNNNNNNNNNNNNNNNNNNNNNNNNNNNNNNNNNNNNNNNNNNNNNNNNNNNNNNNNNNNNNNNNNNNNNNNNNNNNNNNNNNNNNNNNNNNNNNNNNNNNNNNNNNNNNNNNNNNNNNNNNNNNNNNNNNNNNNNNNNNNNNNNNNNNNNNNNNNNNNNNNNNNNNNNNNNNNNNNNNNNNNNNNNNNNNNNNNNNNNNNNNNNNNNNNNNNNNNNNNNNNNNNNNNNNNNNNNNNNNNNNNNNNNNNNNNNNNNNNNNNNNNNNNNNNNNNNNNNNNNNNNNNNNNNNNNNNNNNNNNNNNNNNNNNNNNNNNNNNNNNNNNNNNNNNNNNNNNNNNNNNNNNNNNNNNNNNNNNNNNNNNNNNNNNNNNNNNNNNNNNNNNNNNNNNNNNNNGACGCAACCAAAAAAUGAUGACUAUGAAUUUAUGAUGGAGACAAUGCAUUUGUGUUAUCCACUUUCGAGGGACAGGUGCUCAGUCCUAGAAUGAGGCCUGCAUAUGUGGGCUAUAAUUAGAAUUCUGUGUGGAAAUGGGCCAUGCUGUUCAGCCCACCUUUGAAAUUUUAAAAUAUUGCUCCGCGCUCUUUUCCGCGAAAUGUUGAAGUCUCUGUUUUCAUCCCCAAUUCCAAAUACUGGGACAUUCCCAAAUGAAUGGGGAAUCAUUCGGGGAAAGAUUGUGUUGGAUAUUAUAAGCCAAUUCGUUUCUAAUUUUUGGCAUAGAUCGUUUAGCCGGGGCUAGAGUUUCUUCUCUAUUAGUUCAUAGAAGCUAGGAGAAGAUGCAGAGUUGCAAGAGUUUGGUUAGAGCUUUUCGGAUUUGAGAGGAAUCAAAGCUUAUAGAACUGUUAUGAAUUGAAAACUAACCUCUUCCCUUGAGCUAACGUAAUCAUAAUGCGACAACUAACUGAAUCAAAUAGUAUUGCUCUCGCUCUUUUCCGCGAAAGUCAUAUCUCUGUUUUAAACCCCCGAAUCCCAAAUCAAAACUAAUGUAUUACAAAUUCAAUCCAGCAGAGUAAACUGGAAAAUUUGUUUUAGUUAUUAUCUUAUUACCGAAAAAAGCCUUCAUUUUUUAUUCAAUCAGGUGUAUCAAGUCUGUGGCAGCUAUAGAAAUUUAAAAUGUACCUCAUUUCUGUGGUUCUGGUUCUGGAUUUCAAGCUCUGUCUCUCGCCCAUCAUUCAUGAUGAUCAGGUCAUUCAAUUUCUGAGGGGCAUGAACAACUGCUGCGAUUACAUUACUUUCCAUUUGAUCAUUGAUUCAAAUCAACGAGUUUCUGCUUCAAUUCUCCAAAGUCUCCUUUGAGAUGCUCAACUGCAUUUUGGAAGAGUGUUUUCAGAAACCGGUAAGACUUUCUCACGAACCAUACAAGGCAGAUGCACCAGAAAAAGAGUAUAAUCAUUCCGAAAGUUGAAAUCAGGACGAGCAGCUCUAAGAUCAGGGACAGGCUUCCAAGUAAGAUGGUAAUUUUGAUCAUCAGAUCUCCCAAAUCUGCAUCAUUGUUAUCAGCUAGGAUUGCCAUCACAAUCAAAGAGAGGAUGUAAAUGCAUGUCACAAUGAUGAAUACGUUCAUCCGCUGAGAGCCGUAGAUCGUCGCAUAUGGAGACACAUUUGGAAACUUGAGUUGCAGGCAGAAUCCCAAGAUGCCGAUGAGAGAUAUUAUGCAUGUAUGUAAUUUCACUAUGGAAUAUCUCGUAAGAACAGCCUCCUUCCUUGUGUUUGUGUUGGUGCUAUGACAGAGAAAAUUAACUUAGUUAGAACUAUAUUCUAUGUCCAAUUGUCCAUGUCAAUUAAAUUUGUAAAAACACCGUGGUGUGUGUUAAUUCGUUGAUGGAUACAAGAAGUUUGGAAGAAAAUGAUAAAAAACAGGGGACUCCUAAUCAAUCAAGCAGAGGAUAUUGGAUUACAUAAUCUUUGCAACCGAAUAGAGUUUAAUAUCUAAGGACCGGGUUAGUAUUAUUAUACCUUGAUCUGAAUCAUAUGUUUGUAGGAUGCGUGAGGUCAAAUAUACAUAUAUGAUUCAGUAGUGUUAACAAAAACCGCAUAGAUCAAGAGCAACUUAGAAAACCAAGUUAACAAGAAGAAUCUACAGUAAACAAAACAGAGUUUCACAUUUUUCUUUCUUUUGCAGAAUGAUACCAUUUUCAGAAGAGGCUUUGCAGCUGUAUGAGAUCAAAGAGCAAAUGAAACUAUUUUGAGCUAAGAUGCAAGAAACGAAACUUGUCUCUAUAUUACUAACACUUGUACAUGUUGAGAGAUAACAGAAGCGCUGUCCUCCAUUCCACGGCUGUUUGCCUUUUGGGGUUUGGGGUGCUCAAUCUCGCUCUUCCCGGCUCUUGUUCCUGAGGAGUUGAUAUCUUGCAUUUCAAGAACUCAAUCACGAUAUGAAAGAGGAAAGAGGCCAGUUUGGGUAGGUAAGCUUGUCUACAACAAUUUCGUCUCAUUAUGUGUUUGUUUUUUGUUUUUCUAAUAAUGUUGAACCUAUUUUUUUCUUGACAUUCUUGAUGAUGUUGAUGUGGGCUGGACACACACCGACUAGACCGAGAGAUUAUUGCGUGGCCUGGUACUUUGUUAAUGGGCCAAUUGAUACUGCGUGUUUAUGUCAAAUUGAGACGGUCCAAUCGCAAAACUCAACAAUAGUGCUUCCCGCUCUUUUCCGCCAAAUUCAUCAAAAAACAGAAAUCUUUGCAACUUGGUCUAAUUAUGUACAGAAUUGCAAACUGAAAAAGUGAAAACGAAAGCAUGAAAUAGAAAUUACAGUGUUACACCGGUACCUCCUUGCUGAGGUUCUUGGUUUCAUCAUUCUCCGUCGAAUAGCGGCUCCUCUUAAUCAGAUCCAUCAAUUUCUCGUAAGCACGACCGAGUCCAGCAACUGAUCCCAUCAAGCGGCCAUUUAGUGAGAUCAGUCUCACUUGGAAUUCACCCAAGGUACUUUUGCAUAGUGUUUUAGACAGUUGGUACGAACCAAUUGCAGAUACAUGCUCCAGGAGGAGAAGGCGAACCAUCCGAAAGAAAUGAAAAGAUAAUAGUUCUGGUGGGAUGAUCUUUCAUUGAUACAGAGGGAAUACAUAUACAAGUGUAAUUGUGACUGACUAGGAAACUAAACUAUAUAAGGAAACAUAUAUAUACAGAUAAGCAAAUCCCUAAUAGAGAAGAUACUGUCUAAUAGGGUUAUGCAGCUGACGAGAUAUAGCUGAUCUUCUUUCUAUCUAAAGACUAUUUUCCUUACAAGAAACCAGUAAGAAUAUAAACCAGUAAUUGAAGUUAUUACAGUAACUUGCUAAAUCAAAUGUCCGAAUGUAUCAUAUAUAUAUCACCAUAUUCUGAUAUUCAUCAAGUGUACGAGGUAGGUAGAAAUUAAACAGGAGAAAGCUCAAUCAUCUGCUUCUGGUCUUGUGCUUUAUGCUCCAUCAUCUGGUUCUCGUCUUGUGCUUUAUGCUCUGCCGUGUGGUCACUCCUAAUCAACUCAGGCGGUGCAACAAUGCGGCGAUAUAACCUUGUACAGUAUUCCAUCAAGCUGUCAUUGAUCCAUUUCAGUUUCUCCUUCAAUUCCACAAAGGCUAGGCGAAGAAGAAGCACAACUGCAACUGCAACUGCAAUGCUCACUGUAAGGAUGCUCCAUAGGAAGAACGGAACUGAACCAUAAGAUAGAACAAUGAUGAGCAGUUCCAAAAUCAAGGCAAGAAUCCCAAACAAGAUGCUGACGUUGUUUGUGAAUGCACCAAAUCUUUGAGAUCGGGUUCAGCUUUGAGUUUUUUGGCAGCAUACAUCAAUCCAAAGUAGAAGACUAAGACUACAACAAGAAGUGUGAUGAGAUUUUCCAUCCCUGUUGUGUACUUCAGGCCAAAUAACAAGGCAAAGAUGGCGUUCAUUCCAUGGUGAAAGUCCCCUAAACUGCUCCAACUCGGUGGAGUAGCCUCCUCCAUUUUCCUGUUAUGAUUUGAUCAUGACACAAAAGAUUAGUCAAAAACCAUAAUAACAGAGCUCCACUGUUACAUUAAUAAAGUAACAUCUCACUGUGAUAACUGAUAAGAUACCGUAUAAAGGAAUAUCCAUAUCCGAAGAAAAACAGCAAAGAGUAACAAGUUAUUUGAGGACACUAAACUUGAGUAACAUAGAGCGAUUCUGAACACUUCAAUGCUAUUUCAUUGAAAAGAGUAGCUCUGUUUGAACGAACUUAUUUUCUAUUUUUAGUUUAGGUCUUUGGUACUAAUUUUCUACAAAAUUAGGCAUGAGUCUUCAGCUCUGGUAGGUUGGUAUUCUUGGAGUGCAGACGCUAGUCUUCAUUCCAAAAAGAAAAAAAAAGGUACGCAAUUCUAAAGUUUGAUAUAGAUCCUUACAAGUGUUGUCACUGUGUAAAAUGACCAAAAGGAUGGUUACUGUUCAUAAUCACUGUUCACAUCACAUGAAUAGUGCACGAACGAUUUUGUCCUUAUUUUUGGUGGGUGUGAUUCCGUUUAUGCCCUCUGUUUCUAAAAAACCACGAAAUUACCAUUAACCCUAGAUAUAUGAUUGUCUUUUAUAUAAUUAGUUGUUGUUGAGCAUGUUGUGGGUUGGGAAGUAAAUUUUGAACUCUUAUCUUCAUUACCGUGCUUCAAUUUUUUUUUUUUUUCUCAUAGAUCUCACAAAGGGUAUUGUUAUCGAAGUCAAUCUAAAAUAGGGUCUAUGAUAUUGUGAACCCAAGCAAGGAAAAAUUAUCAUCAAGCAAGGAGCUGAACAACAACUAAAUGUCUGCAGUGUUUUAUCUAACUCUUAAUAAGCUAAGAUUGCGUUUUUGGUGAAAAACAGUUAAACAAAUAGGAGCAUUUUGUACAGUCAAAACUGGAGCUAUAUUUUCGAUCAUACUGCUCCAGAUAAGUUGUUCUGCUUUGUGCACUUACAAGACAUUUACUAUUUUGGGUAUGACACAACACUAGAUGUUUUGUUAUGUAGUGUUGUUGUUUUUGUAAUAACUCCAUUAUUAGAAUCAUAUGUAUAUGUGAUAUACAAUGUAUUGAGGUUCUAUGAAGUAUAUAUCAAAAACUUUUCCAUCAAUCAACUGAAUCAUUAACCAGCUUUAUAAAUAUACACCGCGCCAAGGCGCGGGUACCAACUCUAGUUAACAUCACAUUGAACAUAUUGCCCUUAACCCUUGAUGUCAAAGCUUACAACUUAUAUCAGAGUCUGAGAUAAUCAUAUGUGGAAGUAUUUUGAGUUUGUUAUAGCUGCACGGCAAAUAAGGUUGGCCAACUUGAAGAUUCGAGUUUUCAAAACAAACUUUAUUCGAAUCAAUUUCGGCGAUUUAAUAGUGAAUACAAUAAAGGAACAACUAUAUAUGAGUACUGUGUAAUUAAUAUUAUACUGUAAAUCAAAUAUACAGUAAGUGCACGUUUGGUACCCAGUACUGGGUUAGACCUCCUUAAUUCUUAAGACUGUCCUGGACUAGUGUGGACUGUCUUAAAUUGUACUAAUACUGGGCCACGUUUGGUGUUGCAUGGGAUUAGGAAAAAAAGUUCUAAAUUAGAGGUGUCUCAUGUUUAGUGAUGUAUUAGACUGGACUACUCUAACAUAACAAUCUAAUAUCUAACAAUCUUGGUCAUUGAAAUUUUGACAUGAAAUCCAAAAAAAAAUAAAAUGUGUGAUCAAGCAUACAUCUUUAUCAAAUGAGUAAUAUUAAGCAAAGGAAACAUAGAAACAAGUAUGAGAGCAUGGCAUAUGACCUCAUCCCCUUUUCGUUGAAGCUGCAAAAGCUCUUGACAGUAUGAAAGGCACUCAGCAUGGUACAUAGCAGCUAACUCUUUGAUCAAGGACUUUCUUCUAAUAAUGCCAAUCACUUCAAAGAAAAAACAGACAAAGGUUAGAGUCAUGAAAAUGUUCAUUAUAAGUCGCACAAAAUCUUCUCUGAAGUAGUUACUGGGAAAUAUCAUUAAUUGGGUUUGAAGACUAAAGUUUCAAGUCAGUUUGCAUACCGCGUGUUCCAUCCUUUAUAUCAAACCCCAUUAUAUCUGAGAGUCAAAUUACAGUGAUAUAGAUGUAGCCAUAAAAUUUAAAAUCAGUUAAUGUAAACAAAAAGAUGUCCAUCUUCUGCUUCCUAUCACACAUAGACAUUACCUUUAGCCACAAUGCUAUUUAUAUUAUGAUGAAUGCAAUCUAGAGCCUAAGACAAAAUUCGAAAGGAGACGAUACAAUGAUUCACCUAUCCCAAGUCUCAUUUAUCUUUUUAACCAUUAGAUUUUCACAGUGUGAUAAAUCUCCUAUAGAAAGUCAAGUCCUUGAUACACCCACAAGACAUCAGACCCCAAAUCCUAUCUCAAUUGUGAAAAAUUUCACAUCUUUCAACAAACCCAGAAACGAAAACACAGUCAAAGCCGUAAAUGAGAGAGAGAGAGAGAGAGUUACUUCGGCUGGGAUCGAAUGGAGGAUCAGGAACGGGAGGAUCAUCGGUUUGAGUGGAGGGUGGUGGCUCAUCAGAAGGAAGAGCUUCUUCUUCUUCUUCUUCUUGAUCUGUGUCUGAUCCUGCUUCUGGUUCAGAUUCUUCCUUCUUCUUCUUCUUCUUUCUUCUUCUUUCUUCUUCUUCGUCUUCUUCGUCUUCUUCUUCUUUUUGUUCCUCUUGCUAGGAUGAUUCUUCUUCUUCUUCUAGACCCAAGUCUUCUUCUUCUUCUUCUUCUUGUUGGUGUUGAGCCAAGUUUUAUUGUGGUUGGUCCAUUUGGGCAAACAAGAGUGUUGCAGAGAGGAGGUGAAGAAGAAGAGAGAAGAGUUGUGGAGGAGGCGAUGCGAGCUGAGAGAGGUAGAGCUCUUAGCUAAAGGCCUCUCAUCGGAGUACCCACGCUAACACCGGCUAAGGAGGAGAAAUCAGAAAACAGGUCCUAGUUAAGCCCAUUAAUAUUAGUACCGAGAGAGACCAAACAUGGGAUUAAUCUUGUUUCACUCCUUAUUUAACACUGGCUUAGGUAAUACCGGGUACCAAACGUACCCUAAGAGUUUCGGCUUAGUACCAAAGGAGGAUCUCCAGUAUGUUUAUGUACAAAAAAUUCUGAUGAUUAGGUCUAUUUGAUGUAUCAAUGCGGGUACUAUCACUAUCUUCUUAUCUGUCUCUACAUGGCAGCGGAAUGGUAUGCAAUUACUUAUUCUGGUUUUUUAUGAAUAUACUAUUGGCUAUGCGUCUAUGCCUUUCUUUGUUAAAAAAGAAAAAAGAAAAAGGGGGAGGGUCCCAUUCUGCACAGUAUGGUUGGGGCUUGAUUUUGGGUGAUAGGGGAAAACUUAAACACACUCGGGAAUCAAGGACUCAUCACUUGCUUACAGGGCCGGUCCGUCGUGUUUAGAGGCCUUGUGCGAGAUAUAAAAUGUGGCCCUUUAGGUGCUCCUGAUAAAAGAGAAAUAAUACACCAAACAGGGUCGGUCCGUCGUGUUUAGAGGCCUUGUGCGAGAUAUAAAAUGUGGCCCUUUAGGUGCUCCUAAUAAAAGAGAAAUAAUACACCAAAACUAGAAGCAUGGUGUCACAAAUAGGCAUGUAUAUAAGCAGAUCAAACAGCAAACAAAAAAGAUAGAAGACCAAAAACAAAUUUUCUGUAAAAGCAUAUUAGAUUGACUUCGAAAGCAAAUGCUCUGUAAAACAUGUUACAUUGACUUCAAAAGGAAUUACCAAAAAUCUCAGCUACUUUAUCACAAAGACGCAUCAAGUACUACAAUACUACCAGACUUUUACCAAGAUGAAAUAGCCAAUGCAAUACUAUUUUCUGAAUACUGAUCUUCUAGCACUCUUAGAUGCAAAAUCAUCAAUCAAUCUCUCAUAGUCAAGCUUUUCCAAGAACUCAUGUUCAAUGGAAAUCAAAGCCAAAGCAUUUAGUCUUUCUUGCGACAUGGCUGAACGCAAAUAAGAUUUCAAUAUUUUUAGCUUUGAAAAGCUUCUUUCGGCUGAUGCUACUGUCACUGGAAUUGUUAACAAAAUUCUGUAUGCAAGACAACUAGUAGGAUAACAAUUAGCUCUUUUCAAGAAAUUUAGUAUUGCACUAGCUGUAUCAUGCUCAUUUGGUAAAUUUUUCUGUAAUAGUUCUAAUUCAUUAAAUAAAUCUUCACCAUCAAUGUCUGAAGUGUAGCCAUUCUCCAGCUUCUUUUCAAGAUUGUUGCAACUUCUUUUCAGUUCAUCAGCAUCCAAGGACUUCAACUUCUUUGCUGUGAAUAAGAACCCAAAUGUCUCUUCAUAUUGCUCAUAUUGCUCAAACCUUCUUUCCAAUGAACCGAUUGCUUGAUCAAUUAUGUAUACAAAGUAAUGAACUCUGAAAGAUUCUUGACUUGAUUCUUCAAUGAAUUGUUCAGAUGGCUGAGUUUCAGUGUCAAUCUCAUCAAAAUGUCUCUUCUUGUGAACUUUUCUUUUCUUUUUCUUCUCAGGAAACACUGGAUCAAUAUCUAAUUCAGCAGCAAUCUCUUUGGCACAAUUCAGAGCCUUCUUAAAUCCUUCUUCUCUGUACUCUUUAAAGAAAGCAAUAAGUGCCUUCACACUACCCAUUGCCACAUCAAUCCACAUAUUUUCAGAUUGUAAUUCUUUACUGACAAUAUUCACUUUAGCCAAGAUAUGAUACCAGAUAACCAUCCCUACAAUAAACUCAAAUUUUCCAAGUUCAUACUCUGCUAAACACUUGGCUUCACUUUUAAUACCAGACUCUGUUGCUCUCUCGGCAAGCUGAUUUAGAGCUUCUCUUAUUUCAGGAGCUUGAGUAACUAUUGCCUUCACACUAUCUAUUCUGCUUUCCCACCGUGUUGUCGAUAAUGAUUUCAAAGUGUAACCUUUUUCUGAUAUAUUGUCUUUCAAAAUAUCCCACCUUUUUGUAGAGUCUGCAAACAAGGUGUAGAUACGUUGCACAACUCCAAAAAACUCUUCUGCUUUUUCACAAGAGUUUGCAACAUCAGACAAUGUCAAAUUGAGAGAAUGUGAACCACAAGGUGUAUAAAAUGCUCUAGGAUUAAUGUCUAGAAGUUUUUUUUGUACACCUUUGUGUUUACCCUUCAUGUUUGAUCCAUUAUCGUAGCCCUGCCCUCUGACAUCAUUAAUAUCAAGAUCAAGAUGGUGUAGCACAUUCUUCAAUUCUUCAAACAACCCUUGACCUGUUGUAUCAUUCACAACCAAAAACUGCAGAAAAUAUUCUUGUACCUGUAUUGGAACUGUGGAGACAUCAACACACCUUAUUAUCAAUGUCAUUUGUUCUUCCUUGCUGAUAUCAGGAGUACAAUCGAGUAUUACUGAAAAAUACUUGGCUUCUUUUAUUUUCUUUAGGACUGCACCUUUGAUUUCAGCAGCUAUCAAGAGUAUCAACUCAUUUUGAAUCUUGUGACUGAGAUAAUGAAACUGAAUUUCAUGAUUUUGUUUUCUUCGUAUAUGCUCCUUCAAGGUCGAGUCCCAUUCAGCAACCAUUUCAACUAAAGCCAUAAAAUUUCCAUUGCUUUCAUCAUAGAUCUUCUCAUUACUUCCAUGAAAUGCCAAGCUUUGUUUAGCUAAAUAUUUCACUACUGCAAUCAAUCUUUGCAGUACCUUCCGCCAAUGUUCAGUCUCUUUUUUGAUUUGAUCGCAAAACUUUGUCAAUUACUUGAUUAGUUUCCAGCCUUAUGCGUAACUCAACCCAAAUCAACAUAUGAUCUAUAUGGUCUGAACUUUUUUCAUGUGCCUUCAAACUAUGAGAAAGAUGCCCCCAAUCCCUUAUUCCAUCAUGUGCUAACUGAGUUGGUUGUCGUUUGGUCUUGAACACUUUACAACAGAAGCAGAAUACUCUGUCAAGAUCCUUACAAUAAACAAGCCAAUCCCGAUGAUGCUUCUCUCCAUUUGAUAAGUACUUGGUAUAAAAUUCAGAUGAGAAACACCUUUUGGAUCCAUCUCUCGGACCUUUUCCUGUCAACAAAUCUCUUACAGGACCUCUUUUCACCAAUAAAUCCCUCCAUUUAGGAGCAAGAUUAUCCCAAUUUUUAGGAUCAAAGAUGUUUAAGGGAAUAUCAUCAUUCCCUUCCAAACCAGGCUCCAUAGUUUCUUCUACAUUAACAUCAACAUCUUCUUCCAAAGGUUCCUCCAUUGGCUGCUCCACAUUUUCUUCUAGACCAACAUUAACAUCUACAUCUACAUUUUCUUCUAGAUCAACAUCUACAUCAACAUCUACAUCCACUGGACAUUGUGGUUGCUUCCCUUUCUUGAAAACAAAUUUUUCCAUAGCUCCUGAUUGACUUUGAACAAACUUGUCCCCUUUCUUUUUUCUUUUGCGUUUGGAAUUACCAGCUGCAUGCUUUCUUGUAGGAGCAAUUCUAAAACUUGUGUGUUUACCCCAAUGAGAGACAAUGAUAUAGUCCCAACGCUACUUGAAAAACCUGAAAGUAAAUGAAUGAUUAUCAUAUAUUCUGUUGCAUAAUAGAGUAUUGAAACACUAGCAUAUUUAUAUUUCGUUGUGGCAGCUUACAAUGAGUGAGUAAGCAUAUCUAUUCUGAAAUAAGUCUAGGACAUUUUCUGGGUGCUCUUGAAACAUUUAUGUAUAAUCCUGCAACCAUGGAGGAGCCUCAUCUUAUUUCAUGACUACCAAACAAUAGAUUUUUCACAAUAAGACAAAUUCAGAAUUAGGAAAGCUGGAAAGGUUACCAUGAUAUUAGCCCCUUCUUGAGAUAUGUUGCCAAUGUUGGCAUUCUUUCCUCUCAAACACUGAAGAGCUGCUUCAAAGUCCCUGUGCAGACCAACUUUUUCCUACAGAAAAGUACUGUAUCAAUUUACUUGAGCAUUUUAGUUGAGAAUUUCACCAGCUAUUUAAACAAUCAAACUAAAACAUGUAACUAAACAAACCUAAAUCACAGGCUCACAGAGUCAUAGAGAUUUAUCAAAUCCUGUUUAGAAAUCAAGAAUGAUAAACAAUACUACAAUAGAAUCAUUGAUUCAUUGAAUUGGGAAACAUCAAUAACAUCUUAUAUCUAGUAGAUUACCUUUCAAAAUCAUUGAUCUUGAAUAUAUUGUUGGUUGAAUGAUUGAAAUUUGGGGCGGAAUUGGACGCCGGAACCCUAAUUCUUGUGUAGUGCCGCCAGCCGUGGAGAUUGGAAUCGCCGAGUCGAGAGGACGAGUUGAGGGUUACAAAAGUGAGGGACUGAUGGUUACAAAAGUGAUCAUGAGGAAAUUCACCCAGAUGAACUGAUGAAGAAGGGGGGGGGGGGCGGAGGGGAGAGAGAUAAUAAGGAAAUUUACCCAAAAAAAAAAAUAUAGGUGCCCUGCCUGGAUGUCCACUCCCCUAAUCUGAUAUCUUAACUUGAUGCAUCUAUCAAGGGCUUGUUUAUGCUUACAUGUCUGUUAAUGAGUAGAGUUGUAUAUGGAUUUAGUUUUUACCUUUCUGGUAAAAAGAAGAGGAGCAUAGCUAUUUGUAGAUAUUCAAACCAGUGAGAAAUGGGAAAGACCUCUCCGUAGGAAUUAAGAGACCCUGUGGCUUAAUAUGCAUCUAAGCCUGGUUGAAAUGUAUAGGAAAUUUACACACAGAGAUUCAAACUUGGGUCUCCAAUACACAAAUCCAAAGUAAAACCAACCGAACUACAACUCCAAUUGGCAAUUUGCUACAUCUUUCUACAUAAUAUAGGUGUAUAAUUUUUUUUUUAAACCCUCCAAAAUUGGAGGCCCUGUGCAACUGCACACUUGGCAUAGCCCAUGGGCCGGCCCUGCUUGCUUAUCAUGAAGCGACGGAAGUAUAAGGGAUAAAUAAGUUACUGAUGAUUCCAAGAACAACAACAAUGAUGAUGCAUAUAUGAAAAUUAACAAAAACUAGCAUUACAGCAGGAGCAGAGAUCAAACAAAAGAUGAACAAUAUGGGAAGAGAUAGAAUAGAUAUACUAACAUGCACAGAGGCUGCUGAGAGGUAAUAGUAGAAUUGAUUUCCGGCAUUAGUUCCGAUUACUUUCUCUGCAGCUCUUCGCAGUUUCCCUUGUUCUACUCUCUCAAUUCCUAAACUCCAGAUUGUAUAGAAGAAUGUCGUUGCCAACCCACCAUGCUCAUUUCGGAAUUCUCAUCUCCCAAACAUACAAAAUGACGAAAGCAACCACUUUUCGACGUGAAAAUUCGAAUGUAACGUUUUCUAUGAAGGGGGGAAUAAGAUUUUAGACCAGACGAUUGGGAAUCUGACUCGCCAAAACUUUUGGACAUGGAAAGCUCGCGGGUGGGGCCGGGGGAUGGGGGUAACGUCGUCAUUUAACACCUUCCAACGCGGGUGGGCUAGGUCUGUCCAGUGCGGAAGCCAACCUAUUUUUUUUUUUUUUUUUUUGGUCGAAAGCCAACUUGCUUCCCGCUCUUUUCCGCGAAACUGAUCGGACGUCUCUGUUUAAUCCCCCAAUUCCCAAUUUUAUGUAUUACAGAAACAAAGCUACGAAACUUGGUUUAAUUUAUGACACAACAUAAGUACAUAACAAAGACAAGUAUUCACCAAAACUAAACUGGUUGCAGUAGCUUCAAUUUUACGUGGUAGCUAUACAAUAUAGAAAUUACAGUUUUACACUGGUAGCUUCUUGCUCUGGUCCUUGGUUUCAUCAUGCUCUGUCGAAUAGCGGCUCCUCUUGAUCAGAUCCUUCAAUUUCUCGUAAGCACGACUGAGUCCGGAAACUACACUGUCACAUAGUGUUUUCGAGUAUCGGUAUGACCUGAUCGCAACGGUAACGAAACUGAUGCUCCAGAAGAAGAGCGUGACCCAUCCGAAAGGCGGAAACAGGAUGAGCAACUCUAAAAUAGAAGCAAGAGUUCCAAGCAAGAGGCUAAUGUUAUUCAUGCAUUCACCAAAGUCUGUGUUACUGUGAAUGGUUUGGAGAAUCACGACACCAAAUGAUCCACAGUAAGCGGAUAUGUCAAUGAUAAAUAGCCUCAUGAGUACAAUGUUUCUGUAGUCCAGCACAAAUGGAGACGCAGUUGUGAACUUCAGUUGGAGGCAAAGGCCUAAAAUGGUGAUGAGAAAGAAAAUGCUUUUGUGCAAUGCCAUUACAGAACUUCUCCAAUUUGCAAACUCCUCCAUUUUGUUGCUGUGAGGAUCAUUACAACAUUAAUCGGAGUGCAAUAUCAUUGAAAUUUUAUGUACAUGAUGUUGGUAUUAUCAAAUAUUAGUGAGCUAUAGAUCAUUAAGAAGAUCAAGAAACAUAUAAUGAUAUAAAUAAUCAGCAGAUGUCAUCAAUCUAAUUUCUUCAAUAUCAAUAAACAGAUAUUUGAGUUGCUGAACUAACAAAUUACUCGAUUCUCUUAAAUUUUGGGAUUUCAAGAAGAGCAUAUAUAUAAUCUCAGAACAGAACAACUAUGAAUAGCUACUAAGUAAUGAAUAUCUAUUAACAAAAAGAACUGGUGUCAUAUGCCAGAGUAUAUAACAGAGAAUGUAGAGUUAUAAAUCAAAACUGAAUAUACAUAUCCGAAGAAAAACAGCAAAGAGUAACAAGUUAUUUGAGGACACUAAACUUGAGUAACAUAGAGCGAUUUUGAACACUUCAAUGCUAUUUCAUUGAAAAGAGAAGCUCUGUAUGAAUGAACUUAUUUUCUAUUUUUAGUUUAGGUCUUUGUUACUAAUUUUCUACAAAAUUAGGCAUGAGUCUUCAGUUCUGGUAGGUUGGUGUUCUUGGAGUUCUAUCUAAGAACAGCUGAACAGUUUGGCUUAUUGGAAGUUUAUCGAGACCCGAGGCCGUCAGGCAGAGGCCUUGGGGUAAAUGGGCGGCAGAAAUUUGUAAUCAAAGAUUCUAAACAACCUCCUAAGGUGAUCAUUCUAUGAAGAACACCUGAUGUAGUGUGCAUCUAUUUCAAAAGAAAAGGAAGUAGCACUAUACUUAAGCCUAAGAAGAAACUGUAUCCAGAGCAAGGUAACAAAUUUGAACUAAUUAAGGAGGACAUUGUCAGAUGUGAAAGAAACAAGGAAGAGAAAAACCAAAGCAAACAUAGUAGUUGCAUGCAUGUGUAGGUAGAUAUACUAACACUUGUAAAGGUUGAGAGUUAACAGAAGUGCCGUCCUCCAUUGAUUCCACAAACAGCUUUCCGCAGAGCUCUUCGUACUCUUGAGCAAGCCAAUGUGUUGAUGAUUUUUGCAGAGCUCUUCUUACUCUUGAGCAAGCCAAUGUGUUGAUGAUUUUUGCAGAGCUCUUCUUACUCGUGAACAACAAUAUAUAGACUUGUACAGGAUAGCAGUGUGGAGACAAGUCGAUCGACAUUAUUUGAUAAAGUAUACUAGACGUCAUAUGAGUGUCCUUUUCAAAAAAUAAAAAAAUUAAAAAAAAACGUCAUAUGAGUGAAUGAGUGAUAUGACUCAGAUCAGGCUUUUCGGUAGUUUUCGAAUUUCAUCAAUCCCACUUUCACAGCAGGGAAAUGGCAAAUGUCCAAACUAUCCACACGAAUUGAACAUUUCUAUUGUACCGAAAUCAAGAAUGCAUAGGAGACGACCGUAAUCUUCCUCUAUUUGAACACCGAUGACGCAGAUUCCAUCAAGAAUGCAUAGUGAUGUCACACUAACAUUUGUGAAGCGCAGAAUCAAGUGUUAAAACUUUUCAUCCUUUUGGUAGAACUUUUGUGAUAUCACCGAUAUGCGGAACCCAGCAACGCGGUAUCAUGCAUCUUACAUCAUCAAUAUUUCAUAGAUAUUCAACGUCUAAUAUGACAAUCAAGUCUAUGUUAUACUGUAAAAGUUAUAUUGUUGGAUGUCUGGAUGAGUUGUUAAAGUUCCUAGAAAAUGAGCCUUGCAAUUGCCUUUUGUUCUCAAAAACGAAAACACAAAUCUGGAGUCUUCUUAAGUUUCGAUUUAGUUAGCUUUCUUCCAUGCUACAUUUUUUGGUUAGUUCAGAUGAGAUAUUGGCAUAGUUCACCUCUUUUGUAAUUUGCAUCUUCUCUAAUAGAACCUCAGUUAUUAUGGAUUUCUUCUCCAUCCUGUUCGGCCAAACAAAGAAAAUCCAUACAUGGCCAGUUUCUCAUAGACUCCACUCUCUGAGAGAUAAGAGUGAGGCCGCAAAUGAGAGUUGACUGUAUUCAUCAUAGAGUGACGAAACCUAGCCAUGUCAGUUUGGCUUCUAUCAAGUACACUUUGUUAUGGUGUACCCUAAUCUAGUUACAACUUAAGUAAACUUGGUAAAGAAGAAUCUUGAUUUUGUGCUCUGCAACAUCCAGGGACAGGUUUCCACUCUUAGAGCAGCCUGGGAGGCUGGGAUCAUUUCAACACAGCUUGCAUACGUGGGCUAUAAUAAGAAUUUUGUGUUGAAUUAGGCCCAUACUGGUUCGGCCCACUAUCGGAAUUUCAAAAUAUUGCAACCCGCUCUUUUCUUCGAAGUUUAGUCUCUGUUUUCAGCACCAAAUACAGACAAUGGAACUGGCAAUUAUAUUGUGUAGUAGGUAUUAUAAGCCAUUGUUUUUUAACUAAUGAAAUAUAUUGGGUGAGCUGCGCUGGAUUUUCAUCUCUAUUAGUUCAUAGAAGCUGUGAGAAGAUGAGAUUUACAUGAGUUGGGUUACAGCUCAACUCCCAUGAAUCAAAGCCUAUGGAACUGUCAUGAAUUGAAUUAUUGAAAUAUACUCCCAUCCCUUGAGCUACUCUAAUCAUAAUCAUAAUGCGACAAUUAACUGAAUCAAAUUGUAUUGCUCGCGUUCUUUUUGCUAAAAUGAUAUCUCUGUUUUAAACAACAAAAUCCCAAAUCAAAAUAAAUGAAUUACAAAAUCUGUCCAGCAAGCAAACUUAAAAGUAUCGAAAUUAUUACAACAGAAUCGUGGAAUAUGAUGUCCAAAUUAAAAAAUCGUGGAAUAAGAUGUCAAAAUUAUUACAACAAAUUAUACCAUCGGGUGUAUCAAGAGUCAUCAGGUAUUGAAAUUACAUGCUCUGCCGCGUUGGUGUGAUUCUGGUCCUGGGAUUGAUGCUCUGCAGCCUGCCUGUCAUUGCUGAUGUUGAGAUUCUGGGUCCGAAGCUCAGUAGCGGCCCCGUUGUUUCUGAUGCUCAUAUUGUCCACUUCAUCAUUUCUAACCAUCAUGCGGCGAUACCAAUCGAUCAACGUCUGUCUAAAUUCUCCCAAGCCUUGAACAAGAAGCACAACUGCACUUUGGGAGAGUGUAUUCAGAGACUGCCAAGACUUACUCAGGAAGCAUAGAAGGCAGAUGCUCCAGAAGAACAGUACGAUCCAUCCAAAGGGUGAGAUAAGAACGAGCAACUCUAAAAUCAGGGACAGAGUUCCAAGCAGGAGGCCAAUCUUGUUCGUCAGAUCUUCCAUUAUUGCUAGCAGCUUGGAUUGCCAUCACAACUAAAGAGGCGAGGUAAAAGCAUAUCUCAAUAAUAAAGAGGUUCAUCAUCAGAGUGCCGUAGGCCGUCUCGUAUGGAGAAACAUUUGGGAACUUGAGUUGGAGGCCUACGCCGAAGAUGGUGAUGAAAGAUAUUAUGCAGGUAUGCAUCACCACUACAGAAUAUCCCUGACGAGCACCCUCCCCUGUUGUGUUGGAGCUAUCAAACAGAGAAAUAAUCUGGUUAGAAUUCUCAAUACUCAAUUCUAAAGUCAGAAGUUAGUAAAUUAUGCGUUUAAAAAUGAUGUGAGAUUUUCUUUGACUCUUAAUUUUUCGUUUUUUCUUGACCCUUAAUUGUUCGUUUUUCUUUUCUUCUUGAGAUUUUCUGUAAAUUUUGCUAUGGGAAUGAGAAAUGAGCAAAGAGUUCAGAGGCAUAUGACCGAGAAUAAUAAAAUAAAAUAAAAAAUGUACACAACAACUUCCGACGACGGCCAAAAUUAAACUUCGAAAAUUUGGAGUCUGAUGCCCAAAAGAUAAUCACAACCACUUCCAAACUAUUUUGGGAUUGAAGCAGGUGGGGUUAUUCAAGAUCUAAAUACAGCAGCCUCAGAAAUCAGUAUGCAUGGUUUGGGGAAUUUCUACACAAUCCACAUCUACGGCUCAUAACUUGCUUAUCAUGAUGAUCAAGUACAAGGAAUAAAUAAGUUAAUAAGGAUUUCAAGAACAACAACAACGAUGAUGCAUGAAACCAAAAGCUAGCUAGCAGCAUACAGGAAACAGAGAUCAAACAAAUUUGAACAAUGGAAGAGACAGAAAGAAUUAAUAGAAGAUGUAUUAAACUAGUCCAACUUCAAAUUUUCAAAUUUAGCACAUAUGUAAUUAAACUUGGUCCAUAUUUAUAAAAAGAAAAAAUUCUAGCCCACCCCAUUGGUCAGCCAUUGCUGCUCGGUACGUUACGUUGGUGUUUUUGGAGGUGUAAGAACAGUUAGGCUUAUUGGAGGUUUAUCGAGAACCGAGGCAGUCAAACAGAGGCCUUGGGGUAAAUGGGCGGCAGAAAUUUGUAAUCAACCUCCUAAGGUGAUCAUUCCAUGAAGAACACCUAAUGUAAUGUCUAUCUAUUUCAGAAGAUAAGGAAGUAGCAAGUACUGUAUCCAGAGCAAGGUAGCAAAUUUGAACUAAUUAAGGAAGACGUACAUUUCAGAUAAAAAUAAAACAAGAGGAAAGAAACAAGGAAGAGAACAAUCAAAGCAAAAAUAGUAGGAGAAAAUUAUAUAAAAACCCAAAAUACUAAACCUCUUUUAAGAUAAACCCAUACAUAUUUUUCUUUUAUUUUACACCCACUCCACAUAAGCAAACAUACCAUAUAGAGCAAAUGUUUAUAAUUAAUAGUUUUCUUCAUUUUUCGGUUUCUCUAAUUUGCCCUUCAGACUAUAGAAAGCUAAAUUUGAUAUAUUUCUCAAUUUUAGCAUCAAUUUAAAACUCAAAUACUAGCUAAAAUUUAGUUUGAUUUAACUUUGUCAUAAUCAAUUACAUUCUUUAAUUUUUUACCUUGUUAUUACUAACUUCAGUGUAUAUAUAUAUAUAUGAAUUAAAUUCAGUUUACCCCCUUGUGGUUUGGGGGUGACUUCAUGUUAGUCCUUACACUUUUAUUUUCAUCAGUUUACCCCUUGAACUCUUCAAUUUCUGUCUGCCGUGCCCAAAUUCUUAUAUUCCGUUUGAAUUGACCGUUAAUUAUCAGCAAUUAAGGUCCAAUUUGGACAAAUAAGGUCCGAUUUGCCCAAAUUCUAGAUACGAGCCUCAUAGUUAAGGUUAAAAUUAUCAACAGUUAAUGUCCGAUUUGGACAGAAGAAAGGAUAUUGGUCAUGCUUGAGGAAAAUUCGAAAGUUUGAGAGGUAAACUGAUGAAAUUGAAAGUAUAGGGAUUAACAUGAAGUUACUCCCAAACCUCAUGGGGGUAAACUGAAUUUAAUUCUAUAUAUAUAUAUAUGUUAUAUACAGAAGUAUGUCAUUUGUAAUAGGAUUAUACUUUUCAUUCUUAAGCUCACAUUUGGUGCAUGUCUCUCUACAUAGUCCAUAAAUGUCUAAUUGUAAGGUUCUUGUUCUUUGAUUAAUUUUCUUCAGUGUAUAUAGAUAUAUAUGUUAUAUACAGAAGUAUGUCAUUUGUAAUAGGAUGAUACUUUUCAUUCCUAAACUCACAUUUGGUGCAUGUCUCUCUACAUAGUCGAAAAAUGUCUAAUUGUAAGGUUCUUGUUCUUUGAUUAAUUUUCUUCUUUUUAGGUAUAUUAUUAUAUCAUUUCUCAUCCUAAUCGAGAGAACAUUUUACUCUCUACAACUUACGUUUCUAAUGUACCUAUUAAGUAGGGUAUGAUAUGAUAAUAUACCUAAAAAGAAGAAACUUAAAAUUGGGUUUAGGGUAUAGGGUUAAGGUAUAGGGUUUAGGCUAUAGAGUUAGGGUAUAGGUUUAGGGUAUAGGGUAUAGGGUUUAGGGUAUAGGGUAUAACGUUUAGGGUAUAGGGUAUAGGGUUUAGGGUAUAGGCCUAUAGGUAUAGGGUUUAGGGUCUAAGGUUUAGAUCAGAUAUCUUAUUCAUAUUAUAUUUUACCUUAUGUAUAGAUUAGAGAAUGAAUUCCUUUAAUCUAGAUAUUUUCAUAAAAAUAAAGAAAACUACAUGAUUCUUGCAAAUUGAUUGAAAAAUGUUAGUGUUAGAAGAAAAACUCAUAAUCAAGGUAUUUAAGACAACAUCAAUUAAACUUAUUUAUUAUAUUAAUAUGUUAUAAUUGAAUGAUGGCAAUUGUGUAAAAUUUAGAAAAAAUAGGGACAUAAUAUUUAUCAUAAUUAAUACAUUUUAAAUGUCUAUCAGAUAGGAAUAUUAGGUGGGUUUUAUUUAAAACCACUCUUCAAAAUUGGGUGUAUAUAAAAAUUCUCCAAACAGUAGUGCAGGUGCAGAUAUACUAACACUUGUGAAGGUUGAGAGUUAACAGAUGUGCCGUUUUCCAUUGAUCCCACGAACAGCUUUCUGCAUAGCUCUUCUUAGUUCUUACUCUUGAACAAGCCAAUGUAGACUGUGUAUGAUACCAUACAAACGCCCUUUCUCUUUAAAGAUUUGGAUUUGGCGGUAAUGAUAAAAUACUAAACGUCCUUCUCUGUUGGUUUUCGACGUUUAGCGGGAAAUGUUUAAACUAUCCACACGAAUUGAACGUCUCUAUUUACAAAAAUCAAGAAUCAACAGGAGACAACCGUAAGUUUCCCUCUUUUCUUUUUUAAUGCAUAAGAGUUAGGCGCUCAUUCCUCCCUCGCACUCAUCUUUCAGCCAAGAAAACAAAACCCGUAAGUUUCGGUAAGAGUAGAGGUUUCAGGUUAUCAUCACUUGUGUAAAGUCAAUCUCCAAGAAGAUUAAGAAGUUUUCAGACAAGCGUAAGAAGAUUAAGAAGAUUAAGAAGGGAAUUAGGAUAAUGUGAUGGUGACAAGUUAUCCCAAAACUGAUAGUGACAAGCAUAAGAAGUUUGCAAAUCCUCUUUGAAGAUCUGUUUUAGGUUGAUCUAUGUGGCAAUUAGUGGGGCUGACUAGGACAGUAACCGGAGGUUCCCACGUGGAGGAGAAGUGCAAGUUGGCUCGCUGGGGGGAUUACAUUGCAGCCCUCUGGACCCCUUUGAAGAAGAAGAACUGAAGCAGAAGAAGAAGAAGGUGGCUCCCUUUUUCAUUGAUAUUCUACGAAAAAAUGAAGGAAACUAAGGACAUCAUCACUUUUUCAUUGAUAUUCAACGUCUCUAAUACGACUAGCAAGUAGCAACACACGUCAUACACCAUCCCUUUUGUUCCCAGAACUAGAAGCAAAUAGUCCGACAGUGAAAAAAGUUUCUUAUUGUAAAAGUUAAACAGUUGGAUGUUUGGAUUAGUUGUUAAAGUCCCUUUUUGUUCUUGAAGUUGAACCGUUAAGUUUCGAUUUGCUUAGCUUUCUUCUAUGCUGUAAUUUUUGGUUAUCUUGGCGUAGUCCACCUCGUUUCAUCUUCUUUAAUAAAAUCUCAGGUAUUAUGAAUUUCUUCUCCAUUCUGUUCGGAUGGGGAGGGGGGGGGGGGGGGGGGCGGGGGGGGGGAAAUAUAUAUAAUCAUCAAGAGACACUAAUCAAUUUCAAACUAGAAUGGACACCCAAAACAACCUCAAAUAUAAUCUAUCAGAACACCCCUAUAACACUUGCUGUAAUGUUACACUUUUCAGUUCAGCAAACUUUUCUAUAAACUUAUAAUGAUUAAUCAUACAAGUCCACUCAGUAAAUGACUUGUCUCCUCUAUUUUUGAGAAACAGGAGAACUAUCAAUGGGAUAUCUUUGCCGCGGUGGACGCCUUGUUCCAACCUCCAGUCACUGCCAUACUUCUUUCCUCAAGUUCCUGCAGCUCUCCACACUGAGGCUGCUGCUCCAUCUGGGGCUGACUAAAUGCAGCCUGCACAGCGCUAGUAGUAGAUAGAGUGCAAGUUCCCAAACGCUUCCUCCCUCUUCCCCCGCCAACCUUACCAGCAUUUCUCUGGGAUAAACCUGACUGCCAGCUGCCACCACUUGCUCUAAUUGACCCUUCAAAUGUUUGAAGAUCCUCAGUCACCUCAUUUCUUGACAAAAUAAAUACUCUUUUAUUAUAAGUUACUGUUUCAUGGGUACUUCCAACUACAGAUAUAUUUUUUCAGAAAGUAUGUACCUGUUAAUGAGAAAUAGCAUUCUUCGAUAUAACAUCAAAAGUAACUCCAUUUUCUUGAAGCCUUUCUUGAAGAUCAGUUGGUCCAAAUACAAUCCCAGCUGGGAGAACUCCUCCCUUUGGAAGGUCAUCGCGUUGGCUCAGAACAAUAAGAGCACAUUGAAGUAGAAUUAUCGGGGUCGUUAGGUAUCCAAUUUCAGGUCCCAUAACUCUUGUUACUAUUUCCAUAUCAGGUUUUGUGUUUCCCUGAGAAACAAGACUCCUGUCGCUGAAACCACGUCCAACAAACCACAUCUUAAAAGAAGCACUUCUCACCUCCUCAUCAGAUGGACCCUCCUUUCUGAAUAAUCCAACACUGAAGAAUGAGGGAACUUUAAAGCAACCACCUCCCAAAGGAAAUAGACCCAAGAGCCCAAGAAAGAGUCCAAAAAUCAUGAUCCGAAUAAUGCCCAACAGAGACUUGGUGCCUAUCUUCACCCCAAAAUGAGCUGGCUUCACUGUUGACCAGAAGGCUUCUCUUUUCUUAAUAUGUUCAUCAGUCUCAUUCCUCCCUGGAAGACCACCAGGAUUUUCAGUCAGAGCACCAAGUGUUCUUCGUACAACAAUAGCAUCUGCUGAAGGUAGCUUCACAGCCCAAAGACCAAUCUUUUUCUGGUGUUCAAUGAUUGGUCCUUUAGAAGGAGGAGGACCAGGAAUCUGCAAACAAAAAAGGUAAAUCAUGAUCAAUCAAUUGAACUCCCUGGCCAUUAAGAUACAUAUCAAUCUUUGUUCUCAACCCCCAAAAGCUACAUUUUUUAGUGUCUAUGCCGCAAACAUUUGAAGGAGAACUGCAAGGUAUAAUUCUAUAAACUAUGAAUCCCCUAUAUCAUGCAGCAAUAGAACUAAAAAUGCAUGAGUAAGCCAUUCUACAUGUGUCUUGGCUACCAAUAUUCUACUGUUAGUUUCUGAUAAAACUUGUAAACUUAGUGUACAAAGACGUGCAGGGUAUCAUAUAGCAAUGGAUGUACAGUACAUAACUACCAAUAACCAAACCACUGAUUACGUCAGUAAGGAAUUUGAACAAAGAUACAACAAAGAACUAAGAAACACAAGCCUCAAUUGUCGUUCUUUACUAACUAACCAUAACGGCAUGUAAAGUUCUAAGCUGCCACUGGCUAGUUUAACAUUUCAUUUCUGCUUUCCCCUACAUCACUAUCCACAAAAACAGAACACAGCAGCAAAGUUUUCAACUUCAAACAACAAAACCAAUCAAGCAAUCAACAACCCAAAAAAGUAUGGUAAUCUAAUCAAACUCAUUACUUGCAGCCUCGGUUUUUUCGGCCUGGACCGCCGGAGCGCAUUGGCCACACCCAACACCACCGACUCAAACGUCCCAAAGUUCCCCGCAAUCCUCUUAUCACUCUCCAAGCUCAAAUAAGCCUCCACCCUAUUCGGUACCGCCGCCCCCUCCCACUGCCUCGAGUUAAACAUCACUCCAAGCUCCGCCGGAACAGAGUCAAACCCGCAUGCCGAAAUGACCAAACUACCCUUCUCCGCGGCCUUUUCAAAGUAACUCGCUUCCAUCCUCUCCAUGAACUCCGGCUCUCCGCAUAUGUCGAGAUAGUCACAGCCGCUUUCCACGCAUGCAGCGACGACUGGCUCGCCGUAGAGGCGGAAGGGUCCCACGCAGUUGAGGACGAGGCGGGUUUGGGAGCAGAGGCGGCGGAGGGAAUGAGGGUCGGAGGUGUUGGCGGUGAGGAUGGGAAUGGAGGGCGGUGGAGGGUUUGGGGCGGCGGCCCAUGUGAGGGUUUGGGAGAUCUUGGUGGGGUUGCGGCCGGCUAAGGCGAGAGAG
rnacentral:lncRNA from 1 species